rnacentral:rRNA from 1 species
UACGAAGGGGGCUAGCGUUGCUCGGAAUGACUGGGCGUAAAGGGCGCGUAGGCGGUUUGGACAGUCAGAUGUGAAAUUCCUGGGCUCAACCUGGGGGCUGCAUUUGAUACGUUCGGACUAGAGUGGGGAAGAGGGUCGUGGAAUUCCCAGUGUAGAGGUGAAAUUCGUAGAUAUUCGCAAGAACACCAGUGGCGAAAGCGGCUCACUGGCCCGAUACUGACGCUGAGGCACGAAAGCGUGGGGAGCAAACAGG